AGAGUUUGAUCCUGGCUCAGGAUGAACGCUGGCGGCGUGCCUAAUACAUGCAAGUCGAACGAAUCUUCUUCGGAAGAUGAGUGGCGAACGGGUGAGUAAUACAUAGGUAACCUGCCCCUGUGCGGGGGAUAACAGGAGGAAACUCCUGCUAAUACCGCAUAGCCAUGAGCACCGCAUGGAGCUCAUGCCAAAUAUCCUUUCGGGGAUAGCGCAGGGGAUGGACCUAUGGCGCAUUAGCUUGUUGGCGGGGCAACGGCCCACCAAGGCAACGAUGCGUAGCCGGCCUGAGAGGGCGGACGGCCACAUUGGGACUGAGACACGGCCCAGACUCCUACGGGAGGCA
rnacentral:rRNA from 1 species